UCGCGAAUCUUUCACAAUGGGCGCAAGCCUGAUGAAGCCACGCCGCGUGCGGGAUGAAGGCCCUUUGGGUUGUAAACCGCUGUCAAGGGAGGGGAACCGCUGCACGUGAACAAUGUGCAGUCUGACUGCUCCCUAAAGGAAGCCCCGGCAAAACAUGUGCCAGCAGCCGCGGUAAUACAUGUGGGGCAAGCGUUGUUCGGAAUUACUGGGCAUAAAGGGUGCGUAGGUGGUCUGCUAAGUCAGUGGUGAAAUCCCGUGGCCCAACCAUGGAACUGCCAUUGAUACUGGUGGACUCGAGUGCGUGAGGGGUGACUGGAACGCGUGGUGUAGCGGUGAAAUGCGUAGAUAUCACGCGGAAGGCCAACGGCGAAGGCAAGUCACUGGUGCGCAACUGACACUG
rnacentral:rRNA from 1 species